GACGAACGCUGGCGGCGUGCCUAAUACAUGCCAGUAGAACGCACAGUUUAUACCGUAGCUUGCUACACCAUAGACUGUGAGUUGCGAACGGGUGAGUAACGCGUAGGUAACCUGCCUGGUAGCGGGGGAUAACUAUUGGAAACGAUAGCUAAUACCGCAUAAUAUUAAUUAUUGCAUGAUAAUUAAUUGAAAGGUGCAAUUGCACCACUACCAGAUGGACCUGCGUUGUAUUAGCUAGUAGGUGAGGUAACGGCUCACCUAGGCGACGAUACAUAGCCGACCUGAGAGGGUGAUCGGCCACACUGGGACUGAGACACGGCCCAGACUCCUACGGGAGGCAGCAGUAGGGAAUCUUCGGCAAUGGACGAAAGGCUGACCGAGCAACGCCGCGUGAGUGAAGAAGGGUUUCGGAUCGUAAAGCUCUGUUGUAAGAGAAGAACGGGUGUGAGAGUGGAAAGUUCACACUGUGACGGUAUCUUACCAGAAAGGGACGGCUAACUACGUG
rnacentral:rRNA from 1 species